AACGAACGCUGGCGGCAUGCCUAACACAUGCAAGUCGAACGAGACCUUCGGGUCUAGUGGCGCACGGGUGCGUAACGCGUGGGAACCUGCCCUUAGGGUCGGCAUAACUCCCCGAAAGGGGUGAUAAUACCGGAUAAUGUCUUCGGACCAAAGAUUUAUCGCCUUUGGAUGGGCCCGCGUUGGAUUAGCUAGUUGGUAGGGUAAAAGCCUACCAAGGCGACGAUGCAUAGCUGGUCUGAGAGGAUGAUCAGCCACACUGGGACUAGGACACGGCCCAGACUCCUCCGGGAGGCAGCAGUGGGGAAUAUUGGAAAAUGGGCGAAAGCCUGAUCCAGCAAUGCCGCGUGAGUGAUGAUGGCCUUAGGGUUGUAAAGCUCUUUUAACCGGGAUGAUAAUGACAGUACCGGGAGAAUAAGCCCCGGCUAACUCCGUG
rnacentral:rRNA from 1 species